rnacentral:rRNA from 1 species
UACAGAGGGUGCGAGCGUUAAUCGGAAUUACUGGGCGUAAAGCGCGCGUAGGCGGCUUUGCAAGUCGAGUGUGAAAUCCCCAGGCUCAACCUGGGAACUGCAUUCGAGACUGCAUAGCUAGAGUAUGGGAGAGGGAAGUGGAAUUUCAGGUGUAGCGGUGAAAUGCGUAGAUAUCUGAAGGAACAUCAGUGGCGAAAGCGACUUCCUGGACCAAUACUGACGCUCAUGUGCGAAAGCGUGGGGA